GCUGGGCAUGGUGGUGUAUGCCCAUAAUCUCUACUGCCAGGGAGGCUAAGGUUGGUGGAUUGCUUGAGUUCAGAAGUUCUGGGCUACAGUAGGGCUAAAGUCAAUUGGGUGUCUGCACUAAGGGAGCAAAAAUAUACGGAGAUCCUCUGAGAGCAAUGGACCAUCAGGAUGUUUAAGAAGGAGCAAACCAGUUUACGUUGGAAACAAAGCAGGUCAAAACUUCUAUACCAGUUAGCAGUGGGAUUGGCCCAAUGAGUGGCCAUUGCAUUUCCAGCCUGGGUGAGAUAGAAUACACAUACA
ensembl:misc_RNA Metazoa_SRP Metazoan signal recognition particle RNA